GAUGAACGCUGGCGGCGUGCUUAACACAUGCAAGUCGAACGGAAAGGCCCAAGCUUGCUUGGGUACUCGAGUGGCGAACGGGUGAGUAACACGUGGGUGAUCUGCCCUGCACUUCGGGAUAAGCCUGGGAAACUGGGUCUAAUACCGGAUAGGACCACAUUUUGGAUGGUGUGGUGGAAAGUUUUUCGGUGUGGGAUGAGCUCGCGGCCUAUCAGCUUGUUGGUGGGGUAAUGGCCUACCAAGGCGUCGACGGGUAGCCGGCCUGAGAGGGUGAACGGCCACAUUGGGACUGAGAUACGGCCCAGACUCCUACGGGAGGCAGCAGUGGGGAAUAUUGCACAAUGGGCGCAAGCCUGAUGCAGCGACGCCGCGUGGGGGAUGACGGCCUUCGGGUUGUAAACUCCUUUCGCUAGGGACGAAGCGUUAUGUGACGGUACCUGGAGAAGAAGCACCGGCUAACUACGUG
rnacentral:rRNA from 1 species